UGGGAUUUUGGGCGGCAAUUUCUUUUUCCUCAAUCCUCCUUCACUUUCACGAGCGGCAAUGGCUAUACAGCUUCUCUCUCCAAUCAAUUCUCCCAAAAUUAUGCAAUAGUUUCCUUUCUCAAAUGUAUUUCUAAUAGAAAAACCCAAAAUGUUACGUAUCAUUCAUCUUAUCCUCCAAUCCAUCACCAUCUUCGAUUCAACACUGGCAAUCAAAAUCGAUGAAGGAAAACGUGGGGUUGUGGUAGUGCAGAUAUGGCCGGAAAAAACGUUUUCAGAUCUGAAAAUCAUGUUGGUGGUGGUGGUGAUAGGUGUUUUCUUUCCAUAUAUCUAUCUACGAUUAUUCAAGCCUAAAUUAUGGAAGGGAUUAUUCAACCCCAAAUCAUAACCAGAGGAUCUGGAUUAGUUUGAAAUUAAGUUGUGAAGAUGAGUGGAGCAGUGCUUGUGGCUGUUGUUGCUGUUGGUAAUCUGCAUCAAUGAUAGGAUAACGCCACUAUUGCUGAGUUGCAAUGUUAUUUUCUGCCCAAAGAGAAUGCUAUUGAGACAUUGCAACAGUCACUACUAGGAAAAAAAAUAAGUUUCUUUGGUGGUAGGAGCUACGUAUUGAGCUUCUUGUGGUUGUACAGAGAGCUUCUUUGGUUUCAGUGGUGUUAGUUUGAUUUGAAGGUGGUUGCCUGCUGCUCUUAUUCAGGUUAUGAUGCGGCUGGCAAUGGCUCGGAUGAUUACUCGAGAUACGUAACCCCUGAUGUAGUUGAUGCGUCUCAUGUGUUUAUGGAGAUAACGGGUCAAUUAUGUAUCCUGAUGGGAUGACCCCCAUAAGUUGUUGGAUGAGAUGAUAAAUUGUGAUUCAUCAAGUAUACGUUAGGUUAUUAGGCAGAUGAUUAAGGGAGAUUACGAUGAUGCUUCUAGGGGAGAUUACGAUGACUCAUCAAGUAUACAUCAGGUUGUGGUCUGGGGAUGCAUGCACAGCUAUAUCAGUUUGUUUCAAGAACAUGCAUUAGAUUGUUGCAUAUCUUUAAAACCUUUAUGAUGGAGAAGGUAAUAUCCAGUAGUCCGAUAUAUCUCGGGAUCAUUCUUUGGCAGCGGAAGUUUGGGCAGUUUUUUAUAUUCAAAUUUGAUAAACAGUCUGAGGUUUAUAGUGUUUUGAGAGACUAGAUCAAGGGAUUCUUAAGGGAUUAUCUGAAGACCUGUAUUAGUCAAUUGUGUGAAGCCCAUAAUAUUUUGCUAAACUGGUCUAAGGGGUUGCUUGAAGAUAUGUGAUGUGAUAAUAGGCAGGGGCAUUUUGGGAAUACUGAAGAUUUUCUUGCCAGUAACGUUUGGGGUCAAAAUAAUUGUGUUGACCGAGUUUUGGGCCAAUAUAGAUGUGUUUUGUUGCUCUUAUGGACAUAUCAAAUGGUUCUAAUGUUUAUACAAAGCUAGGGCUAUUUUUGGAAUUUUGGAAGGAAUAUAGAGGGGAGGAAGCUACAGUGUAACUGGUAUGGUCUUAGGGAUCAGUUUUUGGUGUUCAAACUGAGGGUUUUGAUUAGUAUAUGGGCUUUGGGCAAUGUUGAGGAUGCACUUUUGAUGGCUCUUAUAAAUGAUUGAAGUGGCGACUAUGAGGCUGCACUUAUGAAGGAGAUAAAAUUGUUAUUUAUAGCUUUAACGAAUGACAAUGAUACCACGUUAAGACUCCGACUUUUAUCCGGAGGUUUGUUGUAUCCGAUGUCCGGAGGUUGAGAUGCUUUUUGAAGUCUGGUGAUGAUUUCUUUCUGAAUAAAUGGGGUUAUUUUGAGAUCAUCUUUCUAAAUGAUGGGUUUUUUUUGGGAUAUAAAUGGGGUCUUUUUUUACGUUUUAAAGUGGGUUCUCCAUGAUCAGCAAGUCCGGAUGAUAACACAUGGGUGUAAACAAGUCAAAUGAUACGUGAGUCACUCGACAUCAGCUAAUUAAAAGCAUGAAUUAAGCCAAGCUUAAACGGAGUUUGCGGCAGUGGAGUUGUGGCUCGAUGAAGAGACGGAGUUUGCGGCAGUGGCGUUCGAUAGUGGCUUCCUCGGUCUCGGACUCCCGGUUGAGGAAGAAGCGAAAAUCUGAACAAGGUUUAUGGUUCAGAUGGUGAUGGUAAGAUAACAGGGGAUAAUGCAACAAUUGUCUUUGCUAAAUCAAAUAUAAAAAAAAAAACCUCAACUUAAGCAGGAAUGCAUUUGGACAGCUGACAGCAGGGAUGCGGUAGGUGGUAAUAGUCACACUAGAGGAGCUUGAAGCUAUUGAACGACGAUCACGGCUUCAGAGGGAAUCCGAUCAAAGAAUGUGAGUGAGGUCAUCUCUUUCACCAAAAUGUUCGGGUAAGCUUUAACUUUGACCCUUCCAUUUCCGCUCUAAAGUUGCGCGUGAUCAUUGGCUUCGAAAAGAUAUUAACAAGUAUGGUGUGCUUCUAUUUAAUGAACUGAACAAAGAUUAAAAAACAUACUUGCAAAAAACUCAUCGAUUCCUUUUCGAACAGAGGGGUUACUUAUGUACCUUAUUUAUUAUUCUACAGAUAACAUUUUAAAUAAUUUACAAAACUAUAGGAAAAAAGUUAUUCUGCAUGAUCCACUGUGAUUAUGUGAUUUUAGUAUUUUCCAAGUUUGGAUAUGAGGAAGAUAGUUAAUUCCAAAUAUUGGUAGGUUAAAGACCUCCUAAAUGUUCUACUAAAGAUUGCUAUGAAAGGCAUAACCACUUUUUUUUCUUCUAAAAUAUCAAGCUAUCUUUGAGAUACUAUGCAUUGUUAUUGGCUAUAAAUAUUAUUUUUUUAAUCUUUCAUUUUUAAGCAAUAUGUACAUCCUGUUUUGCAGUUUUUCAUUUGUUACACACUUGGACUUAUAGCUGAAUUUUCCCUAUAGCUAAAAAGUAUUUUUGUUGGAUGUUUAAUGAAAAACGAAAGCCCAUUUUAUAAAUAAAAAUAUUUCGGCAAUGAGUUGUGGUGAAUUGCAUAUAAGAAGCGUUUAUUUGUUCUCCAGUUUAUUUUGGGAAGGAGGGUAUAGAGAUUAAAUAUUUGGUUGCAUCUUUUUGGCACCAAAAACUUUUUUAAUUCCAAUAGUGUUCACUGUGGUUCUCAAUUUAUUAUUACCAUCUUCAUGAAAGGUUUCCCAAGUUUAAAUCAAGUUCAAGUUGGACUCCUAUUUUGGCACUUUUUGUUGUUCAUUUGAUAACAAAAGAUAGUUAUAUUCUUUGAUUUAUACAUACUAUCAAAUGUGGAGUUAAGGUAUGCCAAAAGGGCAUGGGUGUAUAAACUAGGUAUUUAGAUGGUUGGUCAAAUAAAACAGGGUUGAUGGUUUCUGUCAACCCCAUGCUAUUCUUUUCAAAGUUCUUGAAGAUAAGGUUGGCCUUGAUUGUAUGCUUUUGGUGGUAAGGUAAGUUCAAGUCUCUAUUUUCUCUUGUUAAUCCACUUUUAGAAUUUUAUUUUUUGUUUUUUCAUUCGGUCACUAGGUUUGCCCAAAUGAAGGAAAGCUGGAAUGAACGGAUUCA